rnacentral:lncRNA from 1 species
GAAGAAGCUUUCUAAUGGAGAUCUAGGAUAUUAUCUGCAUGCCCAAUUUCCUAGCUAUAUAUGACAUCCCUCUCUCUCUGGGUCUUUGUGCCCUUUGUCCCCUUUUCCCCUUCUAGGUGUGGCCUAUGGGUCCAUUAUGGUGUAAAUAUACGAGUAUAGAUAGGUCAAAGUUUAAGACUAAUUUACCAUUAACAAGGAAAAAUGAAAUUUAAUGAAAAAAAAAAAAAAGAAGAGAGAUUAGUACUCAUUUUUCAUACUUGUCUUCAUAUUUGCCAUUGUGUGGACGGGUUUAUUUGGACAACCUUUUUUUAUAAUUUAGAUUACCAACCUUCCUUAUUUAAUAUCAACCAAAAAAAUAUUUUAUACAAUAUUCUUUAUAAAAAACGAGACUUUUCUAUAAUCUUGAGGCAAAUUCCAUUAUACCAUAAAUGGAAUUUGCCUAUUUAUCAUGCCUAUAUCUAUGAAUGAGAAAAAUCAUUUCAUUAUACCAUAAAAUCAAAUGCAAUUAUCAAAACACCUAAUGUUUCUCCACUUCUUAUAUCCACCGUAAACUAUGAGCCUCCUACUCUACUUGGUAUAUCUUUAUCCAAUUUAAAUAGUUUUUAAAUAUUAAUCUUUAUUCCAUAAUUUUUUCCUCCCCUAACCUAAAAUAUUUAUAAUGAUAUUCUUAACAAUUUUUUUAUUAUAUAUAAUAAAAUCUAAUAUUACAAUAAUAUAUUAAAAGUCCUCACUCCAUCACAAUACUUAAUUUUUUUCUAAGCAAUUAAUUCUCUAUUCUUUCGAUUUUUUUGCUUUUAACUACCAUUGGGCAAUUACAUUUUUAAAUAUAAAUUUCAAAGUACACGUUUAUUAGAAUCCUGUUAAGAAAUACAAAACAUGUUGUGGACCCCGCGUUUCGAUCUAUCUCAAUGCGUUUCCCACUCAAUGGCGAGCUCGAUUUUUAUUUUAUUAGAAAAAAUGAUUUUUAUCGAUUAAGAAAAUGACUUGGAGUCGCCACUUAUUUUUGUUUUAUUAUUAAAGGGUAAACAAAAUAAGAAAGAAAAACCCUAAGUGUGACUCCUUAUUUUGGAAAAGGCGGUCUGUGAAAAACCGGAUCGGGUUCGGGGGUCAGGUUACUUCUCGGGAAGGUAUGGUAAAGACCGUAGCACCCCUCUAAGUCCCUAAAGUCGGGUCUCUACUAAUAAAAUGAAGCUGACAUGACAACCAAUGAGAAAGUCAAUGAAUACCUAGGACGAAUCAUGCACAUACGAGAAUUAAAACAUGCAAAUAAAAUGAUUAGGAUGCGAGUGGAUGUGUACCUGGACCGUGAACGAUCAAUGCGCUAUCAUAAAACAGGGUUAGUGAGCAAUGAACAAAAUAUAAUUAAGCGCAUAACAUGGAACAAAAUAAAUCAAACACGCACGAUAAGUAAAUCAAUCAAACAAUCAAUCAAUCGUCAAUUCACAUAUGUGGGGCCCCCACCAAAGCCCGUUUAUUUUUGCAUGAAUUAAUUCCAUAAUUUCCAUUAUUCGGAGUUACAGAAUUGAAUCUAUGCUUAUUUUUAAAACAUUUUAAAAGAUCAUGAAAGAUUUAAAAAAAUUGCUUGCCGAAUAGAAAAUGGAAGCAAAUUUUAUUAAAAAGAGAUUUCAAGUGAUUCUAAAAAAAAACCUAAAGGUGAAAAUUAAAAAUAAAUAAAUAAAUAAAUUAUUUGAUAAAAAUGGAGUUUGGAAAAUUAACAAAGAAACUAGAAAUCGGGAAAUUAUGUGGAAAAUGGGAGUUUUAGGACUUAAAAAUAAAUCUAAAGAUGAAAAUUCGAAAAGCAAAAAUUGUUUGAAGGAUUUGGAAAUUUGACAUUAUAAAAAAAAAACAAUUGGAGGGAUUAUUAAUAAAAUGAUGUUCAGGAAAAUUAAUUUGGAAAUCAUAGGAACAGGAAGUGGGUGAUAACACGUGGCUUCCGAUUUACUGCCAUUGCCACUAUACCCACCAUAGUCACCAAGCCCAUAGUCAAUGCCUCCAAGUGCUCGGUAGGAAAUAGGCCCAAAACACUAAGACGUGCCCCAGAGUUAGAGAAGAUGCUGGAGAGAUCUUUGAUCAAGCCACUUCACCAGAUUUAUGGCGAUAGAUCUUUCCGAAGACAUGAAGAACGGUGACAAAGCCGAUAAAGCAAAGGUUCAUCACGAGAACCACCGUUGGAGUAAUCUUCAAGCCCGGAUCGUCAUCGGUGUAGAACAAGAGCAUGUUGCUCUCGCUGCUGCCACUGCCGCACCCUCCGGAGCUCUGAAACGACAGUGCGUGUGAGGAGAUUGACAACGACGCCGUCGAAGACAACCGGUCUACAUAACCCUCCAACAAGCUUCGUCCUGAAGCUACUUCUGCCGCGGUGCUUUCCACAUGUCGUCCAUACAUCCAGUGACCCGAAUCAGCGCCACCUCGUCCUCAACUCCAACGCAGCUGAAUCUCACGCUGCUGUCCAGUUUGACCUGCGUCGGAAAGAACGACGUUGGGGGCCACGCAGGCAUCGACGGUGAUCUUCGGGAGCCACUGCCCCAGGGGAAUUAUCCUUCUCCGUCCUUUUUUUGAGCCUUCAACACUUUCUACAGCAAAAGUCUCCUCAACUUUUGAUGGCCCCCACAUGUACCAGUUGAGGCUAUUUUAUGAAUUUCNNNNNNNNNNNNNNNNNNNNNNNNNNNNNNNNNNNNNNNNNNNNNNNNNNNNNNNNNNNNNNNNNNNNNNNNNNNNNNNNNNNNNNNNNNNNNNNNNNNNAUUCAAAACAAGAUGUCCAAUACUCCAAAAGAACACCAAAAAAACAGAGAAGAAAGUGAAGAAAACAGAGUGCGUGCAAGAGAUGAUAAUACCAUUAAACCAAACUUUACUUCAUGAAGAUCGGAGAGCUUAAAACAAUCUGGUGGGUUAAGUGAAUGGUUUUAACACAUAAACAAACAACAUCGACACCAUGUGACUCACACAGGAAUAAACAAAAAUCAAGCAAGCAGGGAUGAAAACAUGCUUAAGAUCUUAAACAGUCAAAAUGAACAUUUCAAAUAUUAGGAAAGGAGUCAAAUAUGGUUGUGAAAAGGAAAAACCUGAAGUCGAAGACAACCAAAAUUUGGAUGACUCCUUUUCUCUCUGUGACUGAAAUCCCACCUUCUCGUUCUACUCCCUGAGCUGAGAACUCUCCUCUCAACUCCAAACUCACUCCAGACCAGCCUCUCUUCACUCUCCCCCUCCUCUCUGACUCUCUCUCUCUAGCUAAACUCCUCUAAGCCUUCCCUCCUCCUCAAAAUAUCUCUAACGGACUCUGAAAAGCACUCCCUACUCCAGCUGCCAGAGACGCUCCUCCAUUCACGGCUUCCAGAUUCCCAUGCAACGUGUCCCCUUUUGAUUGGCUUCCCAAACCACUAUUAUGAUUCUCUCAUGGCUUCUCAGGUGUUGACACGUGGCUGACCAAGGCUCUUCCACAUGGUAAAAUUGAGCUGCAAGGUAGGAAUGACCUAAAAGGGGGUCUACAAAUAUGCCCCUCUUCGGUAGAGUUCACGAGUGUAAAGAACAUGAACACUGGAGUGAAAAGUAAGUGUGAAUAGUGAGUGGAAUGAAGUGAACUCUACCGAAGAACCAAGGAGACCCCCAUAGAGACACUAGUGAGAUAUAAACUCACUCAGACUAACAGAUAAACAACGAGGCUCUAAUCCUAAAAGGAAAUGAUGUCUCAAAAAUGCCUCUGCAGCCACACUAAGGAUCCAAGCUCCCUCUAAGACGUCUCCAAAAGUGACUCGAAGAUCAAUGUCAAAGAUGAGUAACAGUCGAACCACCCUAGAGUACAAGAAAGAAUGUGCCCGAAGGAAACUACCCUAUGUGAACUACAUGAGAAGACUAGGUGUAGGGUGCCCAACAACAUGACAAAAAUACGCAUCACGGAAUCAAAGAACUAUGUCAUGUGCAAUGGAAUGGGAAGUCUAGAAGAGCAAUGACGAUCAAGCAAUGAGCUCCAGGUAACUGAGUGAGGAAAAUGACUCUGAAAAACCAAAAUGGAGGAAUAAUGGCGACUCAGAAUGCAAAGAAGACUCAACUAUGCAGGUGUGACUCGAAGGUGAACAAGACUCAACUCAAUCCGACAAAACAAUGACCGAUCGAUAUAGGUGCGGUCCCGACUCAAACUGAACUGAUAGGAAGAUGGUCGAUCGAUAUAGGUGCGGCCCAGACUCAAACUGACGUGAUGAAUGACCGAUCGAUAUAGGUGCGGUCCCGACUCGAACUGAACUGAUAGGAAGAUGGCCGAUCGAUAUAGGUGCGGCCCCGACUCAAACUGACAUGAUGAAUGACCGAUCGAUAUAGGUGCGGUCCCGACUCGAACUGAACUGAUAGGAAGAUGGCCGAUCGAUAUAGGUGCGGCCCCGACUCAAACUGACAUGAUGAAUGACCGAUCGAUAUAGGUGCGGUCCCGACUCUAACUGAACUGAUAGGAAGAUGGCCGAUCGAUAUAGGUGCGGCCCCGACUCAAACUGACAUGAUGAAUGACCGAUCGAUAUAGGUGCGGUCCCGAAACUAAACUGAUAGAAAGAUGGCCGAUCGAUAUAGGUGCGGCCCCGACUCAAACUGACAUGAUGAAUGGCCGAUCGAUAUAGGUGCGGUCCCAGAAACUAAACUGAUAGGAAGAUGGCCGAUCGAUAUAGGUGCGGCCCCGACUCAAACUGACAUGAUGAAUGACCGAUCGAUAUAGGUGCGGUCCCAGAAACUAAACUGAUAGGAUGAAUGACCGAUCGAUAUAGGUGCGGUCCCAGAAACUAAACUGAUAGGAUGAAUGACCGAUCGAUAUAGGUGCGGUCCCAGAAACUAAACUGAUAGGAUGAAUGACCGAUCGAUAUAGGUGCGGUCCCAGAAACUAAACUGAUAGGAAGAUGGCCGAUCGAUAUAGGUGCGGCCCCGACUCGAACUGAACUAAUAGGAAGAUGGCCGAUCGAUAUAGGUGCGGCCCCGACUCAAACUGACAUGAUGAAUGACCGAUCGAUAUAGGUGCGGUCCCAGAAACUAAACUGAUAGGAUGAAUGACCGAUUGAUAUAGGUGCGGUCCCAGAAACUAAACUGAUAGGAAGAUGGCCGAUCGAUAUAGGUGCGGCCCCGACUCAAACUGACAUGAUGAAUGACCGAUCGAUAUAGGUGCGGUCCUAGAAACUGAACUGAUACGAAGAUGGCCGAUCGAUAUAGGUGCGGCCCCGGAUUCUAACUGAACUGAUAGGAAGAUGGCCGAUCGAUAUAGGUGCGGCCCCGACUCAAACUGACACGAUAAUGACCGAUCGAUAUAGGUGCGGCCCCGACUCGAACUCAAACUGAUAAGAUGAAUGACCGAUCGAUAUAGGUGCGGUCCCGACUCAAACUGACACGACGAAUGACCGAUCGAUAUAGGUGCGGUCCCGACUCGAACUGAACUGAUAGGAAGAUGGCCGAUCGAUAUAGGUGCGGCCCCGGACUCUAACUGACACUGAUGAUGAUGAAUGACUUGGUCAAGUGACCCAAAACCAAAGGAUGACUCAGAUAAUAAUGCAAACAAACUCGAUCGGAGGGGAUAUGCCCCAGUAUGACAACUCAUGCGGAUCGACAACUAGGUCGACAGAUAAUGAAGCCUGUGAAAGGUCCGAUGAUCUCGGAGAAGGAGGGUAUGCCCCAGUAUGCAACUCAAGGGAAUCAACAACUAGAUCAAAAGUGAGUGAAACCGGUGGAAGGUUCAAUGCUCUCGGAGAAGGGGUAUGCCCCAGUAUGCAAUGACGAACAGACAGAGAUGCAAAAUGCCUCAAAACUACUGUACUCUGAAAUAUGCUCAUCCAUCAUGUAAUGAAAAUGUCCAACCUCAAAUAGGUAAUGCCAAACAGGACUAUGUAUAGUGAUACCAUGCUGACUAAACAGAAAUGACUGACGAAUAAAAACAAUGAUGACCAAUGCCCGAAAUGUGAAAAACAAGCAAAUCAACACUCAACAUGCCAACUGUCAAAAUGAAAGCAUCAACACUAAUAAGUCAGCAAUCUGUCAGGCCCUGCCAUCAUGGAAGAUGUUGAACCUAAAGUCCAAAAGAUAUAUGAAAGCACAACCAAGGUGAUCGAGGACUGAUCUACAUCUCCUCAUAAUCGAGAAAGGGGUGAGGUCAUGUGCCAUGGUAAGAUGUGAAGGAUAAAAGAAGGUGAUGGUCAGGCUCCGGUAUGAGAGAAGGUAUGAAAGUAUCCAUGGUGAAACGUCUGAGUAUGAAAUGAAAGGUAGGGAGAUAUCCGAGAUCAUCCAAGUAUGCCGAGAAGACUAAACCCAAGGUGUCGAUAACUCCAUAACCCAUCGUAAGUAGCAAUCACAAACAGGAAGUCAAGCCUCAAUGUCAAAACCUCCAACAAGGUGGCUAUGCCCCAGUAUGCAAUGAGGACAACAUGAAAUAAUCCAAUGAUCUCCCUAUCACUCGUCAGGUGCUCCAAUGUCAAGAACCAAUAUGAUCUCCCUCCAAAAGAUGGACAUGCCCCAAUGUAAAGGAUCCAAAUAGGGUGGCUAUGCUCCAAUGAAAAAUGCUCUCCGUCCCGGCUAUGCCCCAGUGUAAAGUAGUGUAUCCGAGUCAGCAAAUCAAUCAACCUCUACUCCCGGUGCCAAAACGGAAACAUCUCAACAUAAUCCAUAUGAAUCAGAAUCCCCGGGCUCCAUGAAUGUGAAUGCGGUGGCUAUGCCCCAGUAUAAACCAACUGAAGUGACUAUGCUCCAAUGACCAAUCAAAGUCCAUCACCAAUGAGAGGGCUACGCCUCAAAUAAAAUCGUCAUCUCAAAAACCAACCAUCGAUGAGUAGAGUGUGUCCCAAUGCAGAGUAUCGAGUAGAGCGACCGUAUCUCCAAUAAAAACGCCCUCUGAAAUGGCUAUGCCCCAGUAUAGGGUCAUCCCACAACUCCUGAUCCAUCGUAAUCCAAGUGAAGAAGCGAACUGACUAUGCCUCAGUGCAAGGCACCAUCCAGAAAGAAAAUGUCAUCAAUGAGCGGGGUAUGCCCCAGUGUAGAUAACGUCGCCUCUGAAAGUCCAUCACCGAUAAGAGGGGUAUGCCCCAGUGUAAAUCAUCAUCUCAACUCCACAUCCAUAAUGCUCUGAGAGAUAAUCACCGACCAAGCUCGAGUAUUGCCCAUGUGUGAGCCGUCAAACACAAUGUGAAGUAAUGGCCUCAGGGUGGUCUUCAGACAUGGGACGUAACGUAGGGCAAGGUAAUAGGGUGAAAGAAACGAAAGGAAACUAGGCUAAAAAAUCCCAAUGAUACAAUCCCCAUACCCCUCGUGCAUGAUAUGCAAUGCGCAGAAAAUGUCAUGAGUCCCGGACCUAGGGGUCCCCACACGAAAAGUGAUGAUAAAUGAAUGGAUACAUCGAAUAAGCAAGAAUAAAGUGUGGAUGCUGAACCCAUGUCAAACAUCAAACAGAAUGAGAAUAGAAUGAGAUAAGAUGAAAUGGAGUGAAACGGAGGGAUAAAAUAAAGAUGAAAGAAGGCGAAGAGAUAGAAAAAUGAGUGAUGGUCAACCUGCAUCAAAGCAUGGAAAGUAGUCACAUCCGAAAUAGACGGAAUGAUGGAUAGAGCAAGGAUCCAGAGAUACAGAAGAAAAGUCGCUCGCAUCUCUCACAAAAAACGAAUGGGCGAAUCAUACUCUCACCCAAAAUAUACAUCAAGAUGAAUCUAAAAAAUAAGCUUUCAUACGAGCUCUCUCUAUCAUAUGAACUCAAUGAAACAACUUGGCACGUCCAUACACAUGCCUGAUGAAGAAUGAUACAAUGAAUAAUGCGCUAUCAUCAAUCAAUUUUUUUAUUUUUUUAUUUUAUUAUUUUUUUAUUUUUUAUUUUUUUUUUAUUUUUUUAUUUUUUUUAUUUUUAUUUUUUUUUUAUUUUUUUAUUUUUUUUAUUUUUUAUUUUUUUUUAUUUUUUUGCGCGUACGCUGAUCAAUAGUGAAUGAACUCCCAUGAAAAUACAUACCCAAAUGAAUAAACUCUCUCCAUGUACUGAUGUAACAUGAAUCCUCACUAACAAGACAACCUCUCAAAUAAGAUCCCUGGACCAUUGCCCAUAAGGCGAACGGGGGAGGAACGUGACAAUCCUCCAUGCAGUGACGUGUGAAAAACCACCACUCAAGGUGAAACACGGAUAAUGUCGAGUAAGCGAUGAUGAAAGAAAAGACAGAGAACGAAUAUCACAAGUGGUGAUAUAUGAUAUAAGAAAAAUAGUGAUGAAAUGAUGUCCAAGUGGAAAAUAUCACAGUGAAAAGUGAAGAAUGAUGCCUGAAUAUGUAUGUCAGGUUUGGAACUCAUGACGUAUCCAAUCAUAGCAUGCAAGCGCUACAGGGUCCCUAACCCGGUGUAAUAGGUAAAUGAGGUGAUGAAAGAAAAGGCUAUGUGCUCGUGUGAAGCUCAAAGGGCUAGCAAUGGAUAACUCUAUAUGUGAGGGUGAUAAAGUAAAUAGGCUCAUGAAAUGAUGGCCACCCAUCCUUUAACCACAACCUCGAACAUCGUGCUUUUGAGAUCUCACAUGGUCAAUACUAAAGACUGGCAUCCAUCCAACAUAGUCAUGGCGACUCAUCUGAAAUCGCGUAAAAGCCCUCACUGAUGCUCUGUGAUAACCGUCAAUAUCCUCGGAUAAUCACCUCACUCUAUCAUCAUAAUCCACUCACCAUCGUCUCAUAAAAUCACCAUCUCUAAUCAUCCCGACUCUCUGAAGUCAUGUGCAAUGACUCAAAUCUGGAUGCUCCAUGACGUCUCCUCUACCUCAACAACAUCGUCAAACAAUCAAGCCACUCUCUCAUCAUGAUCCAUCUAUCAUCGUGUAAAGCUCACCUCGGGUCUAACCAUCUCGGACUCUACCUGGUCAGAUCCAUGAAAUGAUGGAAAGGAUAGGCAAUGGUACUGUAGCCUGAUAAGGCGAACAGGGAUGGUAAAGUCGUACAGUAAUACCAAAGGGUGGUGUCAUGUCAGGCUCAAAAUGGGUAGGUCAUCAAGUCUGAAAAGGCUAAGGUAUGGAUGUGGGUAUGGUACCACUCUAAUCAGAAGGUGAAAUGGGUCACAGCCUCAAACUCCCUAGGUCGAUCUCCUGAUCCUAGGUCAAUAGACUCAAUAUCCUCCAUGAUAGGUCAGACCCAAGUGAUCGUGAUGUAAGUGAAAGAUGUAUCAUAUCGAAAGCAUAACACGCAUCAACGCAAGAUAUGUAAAACACACUCCCGAGAAAAAUGCCACAAUACUCAAGAUAAAAUAUCAUAUCACUAAAUGAACCAACGAGUACAUCAUGUGUGAAAUGGUAAAGGACUACAAACAACUGGACUCUCAACAUGAAACUAAAAACAAUGACCCUAAACCGAAAACAGGACUCAACAAAACAAAAACAACUCUGAUGAACUGAAAACUGGACUCAACAAAAUGGAAAUGAGUCUGAUGAUGACCAUAAUCAAAAUGAGAAAUGCUCUGAACUGAACUGCUACCAAGUGAUGUACCCAUGUCGACUGACCUAAGUCCUCAUCCUGGAAGAUCCCAGAGCGCCAUAUGCCAACAGUACCAUCAACAUCCAAAUCGGUCUACUGAAGACCAGGAGGAGGAGGAACUGCAUGUGUAGAAUGUGUAGGCAGGGGAUUGGUGGUCACACUUGGCCUAGCCAAGUCAACCACCCCUGAAUCGAUCAAAUCCUGUAUCGCAUGAUGGAGUGCUGAACAACGCUCAGUAUCGUGCCCCGGAAUCUGAUGAUACAAGCAAUGCUCAUGUAAACGGAAAUGAGGAGGAAUAGGAUGGGGCAAAGGCCUCGGUGCCAAAGGAACAAUCACUCCAGCGUCUCUGAGCUUCUCAAAAGCUCUAGUCAAAGUCAUACCCAACGGAGUAAACUGUCUCGCGGGCCUCUGUGCAUAUGGCCUAGGUAGCGGGUGAGUAGUGGCUCUCGGAUGUGGUGGUCGCGGCUGCACGCUAGUCUGAGCAAUGUAAGGCUCCUGAGCAUAAUCCAACUGAUACUGAUACUGUGGAAGAGAGAAAGGAGCUCUGACUGUAGGAGGCCUAUAAGCUGAGUGAAGCGCGGGCCUCCGGUGCUGAUAGCUAAUAACACCAACCUCUCCAGAUCUACCCAAUGGUCCAAUCAGCUUCUUCCCCUUACUGUCAGGGGAAGAAGUAGUAUCUGUCCAUAAUCCUCGAGCAAUGGCCUCCUCAACACUGAAAGCUGCCUGAACCAAACUCCUGAGAUCCUGAAAUGGGAUGCCCACAAGACGUCUCGCGAACCUCGGCUGUAGGUUCCGAAGAACCAUAUCAAUCUGAUCCUGCUCCUUAGGCCGGUCUACCAUACCAGCCACCUUUGCCCUCCAACGAGUGACAAAUGAAGAAAUAGACUCCUCUGGCCUCUGUCUAGUGGCCUCCAACUCUCGUCUGGAUACAUCAAUAUCGGCACUGAAAGCGAACUGAGUCAGGAACUCACGAGCCACGUCUUCCCAGGUGCGGAGUCUCGAAGGCUCAACUGAAGCAAACCAUCUCUGAGCUGCUCCACUAAGUGACAUCGGGAAGAGGGCCACCAACUGCGCAUCAUCUAUACCAUGUGCUCUCAUGACCGUGCUGUAUAGCCUCAAGUGGAUCUUGGGACAACCAAUCCCACUGUAACGCUCAAUGUCUGGCAUGCGAAACUUGGCGGGCAAGCUAGCCGCCGGUAUGCCAUCCCUGUCAUCCCAAGUCAAACCUCCGUCCUGCAAUCUGAUCUGUCUCAUCAUGGACUCAAGCCUCUCAACCUUGGCCUCCUGCUCGGCCAAUCGAGUAUCCUCAAUAGUAGGAACCAUGGGAGGCGGCACUGUGACAGUAGGUGGUGGAAUGGUCUCAUAAUGAUCUGCCAGAUGGAACGGAGUACCAAGUGAAACCCUAGGUGGACGAGUCUGUGCUGUCUGAGAUGCAUGAGGAACUGUCUCAUCAAUGACCAUGCCAACCGGCUGGGGAUCCUGGCGAGAACUCUCUAUCUGAUCCAAGCGCUUACUGACUCCGGCCAUGAACUCCUGAAUGGAAGCGAGUGUGGAAGCUAGCUCGUCUGACAUCUCAACUGAACUGUCUGAACUCAAAUAUGAAUCUGAUCUGAUCAAUCGUCCUCCAACUCUCCUCCAAGAAUGUGACUCCAGACUCAACCGACUCCUAAACUGACUUCCUACAAUGCAAACAAGAUGGAUGAAGGACAUGAGAUGAAACUCUAAAAGACGACAGUACAACAUACAAGCACAUGGUCCAGAGGUAGCAAUCAGAAAUCUGGAUAUAUGACGAGAACUCUGGAGUCAUAAAGGUGUCCACUGUGAGAUGGCUACAAAUGUGACUAGAGAAUUCCUAUCAAUAAUCCAAGAUGAAAGAGGUGUGAAAAACACACUAUCACGAGAUCGGUACUCCAUCAAUAAACAUAUACCUUUAACUCAACUUCCAACCCAAGCUCCAUAAGAGAAAAAAUGAUAGGGUGAUCAAGGCGAAUCUCUCGAAAAAAGUGUGGAUGUGAAAAUGCGCCUUUCACCUUUCCGUAAUGAAAAUAUGAGCAUCGGGUUGAAAAUUGAAUCAAGUAUCCAACGAAGAAAUGAAGUACUCAGCCCGUGAUAGGUGUACAAUGCAAAAACAAGAUGAUCAAUGAACAUAUCCCAAAGUAUCAAGUGAGUGACAACAAAGUGAAGGGGUGUGUCGAGCCAAGAAAUGAGAACGAAAUCCCUAGGGAGAAAACAUGCUAAACUCCUUGAGUAAAAAAACAUAAUCUAAGGUGACAAGGCGAAAGGUGAUCCAACCGAUACUCAAACAAAUAACGAUCUCCGAGUACUCUCAACUGGAGACUAAAAAGAGGGAAUACUGGAUCCGAACUGUAACUAAAGAGGCUCCGAAGGCCCUCAGAUGCACCCACGUGUGAGGAAGGAAGUCCUACUCGAAGGAUCUACGGCUCAACCUACGAGGUCAGGUGGCUCUAAAUGGAUAUGGGUGGACUUUAAAAAAAUCCCGAGCAGAAGCGAUCAUACCCUCCAGCGGUACGCAACCCUCUGCACACCUCAGAAAAGACGGGGCGCUUCCAUGCAAGGUGGACAUCGCAUCCACACAUGCACUACCUCGACAUCCCAAGGGGUUUCCUAUGGUGAAUUCUCUCAAACUCUCAACGCUCAAUAGUCAACUAGAGUGCACAGUAAUCGGUGUGGGUGCAUCCGAAACCCUAAGAAGAUAAAGCAGAAGAUGAGACACACUGGUCGCAUAAAUAUCCAUGAAACCUAGCUCGGGGCUAUACAGGUCUUCAAUGAUCGGACUCUAAUCGACAACAAUGCGCCGCUCGCCUCCAGAAUGCUCCCAAACAUCAGUAUAGCCCGUCGCUGGACCCUACUCCUAACCUCUAUCUCGGUCAGAGUACAAGCACACACAAGGCCUCACACUUGCAAAAGUGAGAACCGUAAUGAAGGAAGUGACCGAGACUAGAGGGUGGGAGACAAGGAGAUAGAUAUGCGACCCACAUAAACAAACGGCACACAAUCAUGCAAAAGGAGGGCAGUCAUGCGACACGCAAUCAAACAAAUCUCAGAUAUAUCAUCAAUGUACACACACAAAAUAAGCGAGAAUACGACGAUCAGAUGAAUAAUGAUACAAAGACAACACGCUUAAAGAUGAUCAAAAUAAUAUACCAACAAGUGGAUCAGCAUGUCGAGUCGAAUGAUAUACAGUGGUGAGUGUAUGCAUGUGAAGUGAUUAGAACAAUCAUGGCAAAAUCAGAGUAAAUGUGCUAAGCAAUGCAAUAUGAUCAAUCAAUAUAAAUCAGCAAUGUCGAUGUAGCAAACAUAUAUAAUCAGUGAAGCACGAAAAAUCACGGCCUCAGAAGCCUCAAUCAGGAUAAAAUCAAUCAUCAUAAUCAACAUGUCAAAAGUCUCGAACAGAUAUAAAAUCCGAGUAUACAUCAAAUAUCCUCAAUGUGCAAUCAAGAAAUGGGUACCCAUUGAUCGUCCAAUCGAAUGCCACGUUUGCUUCAUUCUAAGUUCAAGCUUGACCCUCUAAAAAAAAUCCCCAGUGGAGUCGCCAUUUUGUGGACCCCGCGUUUCGAUCUAUCUCAAUGCGUUUCCCACUCAAUGGCGAGCUCGAUUUUUAUUUUAUUAGAAAAAAUGAUUUUUAUCGAUUAAGAAAAUGACUUGGAGUCGCCACUUAUUUUUGUUUUAUUAUUAAAGGGUAAACAAAAUAAGAAAGAAAAACCCUAAGUGUGACUCCUUAUUUUGGAAAAGGCGGUCUGUGAAAAACCGGAUCGGGUUCGGGGGUCAGGUUACUUCUCGGGAAGGUAUGGUAAAGACCGUAGCACCCCUCUAAGUCCCUAAAGUCGGGUCUCUACUAAUAAAAUGAAGCUGACAUGGCAACCAAUGAGAAAGUCAAUGAAUACCUAGGACGAAUCAUGCACAUACGAGAAUUAAAACAUGCAAAUAAAAUGACUAGGAUGCGAGUGGAUGUGUACCUGGACCGUGAACGAUCAAUGCGCUAUCAUAAAACAGGGUUAGUGAGCAAUGAACAAAAUAUAAUUAAGCGCAUAACAUGGAACAAAAUAAAUCAAACACGCACGAUAAGUAAAUCAAUCAAAACAAUCAAUCAAUCGUCAAUUCACAUAUGUGGGGGCCCCACCAAAGCCCGUUUAUUUUUGCAUGAAUNNNNNNNNNNNNNNNNNNNNNNNNNNNNNNNNNNNNNNNNNNNNNNNNNNNNNNNNNNNNNNNNNNNNNNNNNNNNNNNNNNNNNNNNNNNNNNNNNNNNGGAAAAUGGGAGGUUUUAGGCCUUAAAAAUAAAUCUAAGGAUGAAAUUCGAAAGGCAAAAAUUGUUGAAAGGAUUUGGAAAUUGGCCAUUAUAAAAAAAAAACCAUUGGAGGGAUUAUUAUUAAAAGAUGUUUCAGGAAAAUUAAUUUGAAAAUCAUAGGAACAGGAAGUGGGUGAUUAACACGUGGCUUCCGAUUUACUGCCAUUGCCACUAUACCCACCAUAGUCACCAAGCCCAUAGUCAAUGCCUCCAAGUGCUCGGUAGGAAAUAGGCCCAAAACACUAAGACGUGCCCCAGAGUUAGAGAAGAUGCUGGAGAGAUCUUUGAUCAAGCCACUUCACCAGAUUUAUGGCGAUAGAUCUUUCCGAAGACAUGAAGAACGGUGACAAAGCCGAUAAAGCAAAGGUUCAACACGAGAACCACCGUUGGAGUAAUCUUCAAGCCCGGAUCGUCAUCGGUGUAGAACAAGAGCAUGUUGCUCUCGCUGCUGCCACUGCCGCACCCUCCGGAGCUCUAAAACGACAGUGCGUGUGAGGAGAUUGACAACGACACCGUCGAAGACAACCGGUCUACAUAACCCUCCAACAAGCUUCGUCCUGAAGCUACUUCCGCCGCGGUGCUUUCCACAUGUCGUCCAUACAUCCAGUGACCCGAAUCAGCGCCACCUCGUCCUCAACUCCAACGCAGCUGAAUCUCACGCUGCUGUCCAGUUUGACCUGCGUCGGAAAGAACGACGUUGGGGGCCACGCAGGCAUCGACGGUGAUCUUCGGGAGCCACUGCCCCAGGGGAAUUAUCCUUCUCCGUCCUUUUUUUGAGCCUUCAACACUUUCUACAGCAAAAGUCUCCUCAACUUUUGAUGGCCCCCACAUGUACCAGUUGAGGCUAUUUAUGAAUUUCAUGGUUCAGAUUUGCAUCCAUCUUAUCUGAUUAUUCAAUCUGUUCUAGCUUGACAACGUCCAGAUUAAGCGUCCACUUAUUGUCUUCUGAUGAGUCAAGCUAUAAUAACCAGAUUUCUUUGUCGAUGUCUAUUGAUUCGGAUACCUUCAGCACAACAGAUCAGAAAAACUUGUUGCCUCAACUAUAACCUCAGUGUAGCUGGAGGCUCAUAAUCCUGCAGCUUAUUGAAAAAAAGAUCCAGUGACUAAUCGAAAAACCUGCCCAUCAUAGGUCCGACCAGUUCUUCCUCUAAGCUACUCAACCUGAGACUUGGAGACAUAGGCAAGCUCUGGAGCUUCCUUUUUCCGAUUACUGGAAGCUCACAGAGUGACCUUCCUCAUUUCUUCAUUCUACAACAGCGAACUCUCUUUCUCAAAAGCACCCCAAUCCAAACGGCCAAAUUCAAAACAAGAUGUCCAAUACUCCAAAAGAACACCAAAAAAACAGAGAAGAAAGUGAAGAAAACAGAGUGCGUGCAAGAGAUGAUAAUACCAUUAAACCAAACUUUACUUCAUGAAGAUCGGAGAGCUUAAAACAAUCUGGUGGGUUAAGUGAAUGGUUUUAACACAUAAACAAACAACAUCGACACCAUGUGACUCACACAGGAAUAAACAAAAAUCAAGCAAGCAGGGAUGAAAACAUGCUUAAGAUCUUAAACAGUCAAAAUGAACAUUUCAAAUAUUAGGAAAGGAGUCAAAUAUGGUUGUGAAAAGGAAAAACCUGAAGUCGAAGACAACCAAAAUUUGGAUGACUCCUUUUCUCUCUGUGACUGAAAUCCCACCUUCUCGUUCUACUCCCUGAGCUGAGAACUCUCCUCUCAACUCCAAACUCACUCCAGACCAGCCUCUCUUCACUCUCCCCCUCCUCUCUGACUCUCUCUCUCUAGCUAAACUCCUCUAAGCCUUCCCUCCUCCUCAAAAUAUCUCUAACGGACUCUGAAAAGCACUCCCUACUCCAGCUGCCAGAGACGCUCCUCCAUUCACGGCUUCCAGAUUCCCAUGCAACGUGUCCCCUUUUGAUUGGCUUCCCAAACCACUAUUAUGAUUCUCUCAUGGCUUCUCAGGUGUUGACACGUGGCUGACCAAGGCUCUUCCACAUGGUAAAAUUGAGCUGCAAGGUAGGAAUGACCUAAAAGGGGGUCUACACAUGUCUUCGUAUAUCUUUAUCCAAUUUAAAUAGUUUUUAUAUAUUUAUCUUUAUCCAAUAACUUUUUCCUCCCCUAACCCAAAAUAUUUAUAAUGAUAUUCUUAAUAAUUUUUUUAUUAUAUAUAAAAAAGUCUAAUAUUACAAUAAUAUAUUAAGAGUCCUCGCUCAAUUACAAUACUUAAUUUUUUUCUAAGCAAUUAAUUCUCUAUUCCUCUGAUUUUUUUUUGCUUUUAACUACCAUUGGGCAAUUACAUUUUUAAAUACAAUUUUCAAAGUACACGUUUAUCAUAAUUAUAUCUUUAUCCAAUUUAAAUAGUUUUUAUAUAUUUAUCUUUAUCCGAUAACUUUUUCCUCCCCUAACCUAAAAUAUUUAUAAUGAUAUUCUUAACAUUUUUUUUAUUAUAUAUAAAAAAAUAUAAUAUUACAAUAAUAUAUUAAAAGUCCUCAACUCAAUUACAAUACUUGUUUUUUUUCUAAGCAAUUAAUUCUCUAUUCUUCCGAUUUUUUUUUGCUUUUAACUACCAUUGGGCAAUUACAUUUUUAAAUACAAAUUUCAAAGUACACAUUUAUCAUAAUUAUAUCUUUAUCCAAUUUAAAUAGUUUUUAUAUAUUUAUCUUUAUCCAAUAACUUUUUCCUCCCCUAACCUAAAAUAUUUAUAAUGAUAUUCUUAACAAAUUUUUUUAUUAUAUAUAAAAAAAUCUAAUAUUACAAUAAUAUAUUAAGAGUCCUCGCUUCCUUCCAAUUUUUUUUUUGCUUUUAACUACCAUUGGACAAUUACAUUUUUAAAUACGAAUUUCAAAGUACACGUUUAUCAUAAUCCUGUUAAGAAAUAUAAAGAUAUAUCUUUAUCCAAUUUAAAUAGUUUUAUAUAUUUAUCUCUAUCUGGUAAUUUUUUCCUCUCCUAAUUUAAAAUAUUUAUAAUGAUAUUCUUAACAAUUUCUUUAUUGUAUAUAAGAAAAAAUUAAUAUUAUAAUAAUAUAUCAACUGUACUCGCUCCAUUACAAUACUUAAUUGUUUUCUAAGCAAUUAAUUCUCUAUUCUUCCAAUUUUUUUUGCUUUUAACUACCAUUGGAGAAUUACGUUUUUAAAUACAAAUUUCAAAGUAUACGGUUUAUCAUAAUCUUGUUAAAAAAUACAAAACAUGUUCUUUAUCCAAUUUAAAUAGUUUUUAUAUAUUUAUCUCUAUUUGGUAAUUUUUUCCCCUCCUAAUCUAAAAUAUUUAUAAUGAUAUUCUUAACAAUUUCUUUAUUGUAUAUAAGAAAAUUUUAAUAUUAUAAUAAUAUAUCAACCGUCGCUCCAUUACAAUACUUAAUUUUUUUCUAAGCAAUUAAUUCUCCAUUCUUCCGAUUUUUUUUUUGCUUUUAACUAGCAUUGAGCAAUUACAUUUUUAAAUACAAAUUUCAAAGUAUAUGUUUAUCAUAAUCUUGUUAAGAAAUACAAAACAUGUCUUGGUAUAUCUUUAUCCACUUUAUAUAGUUUUUAUAUAUUUAUUUCUAUUUGAUAAUUUUUUCCUCUUCUAAUCUAAAAUAUUUAUAAUGAUAUUCUUAACAAUUUCUUUAUUGUAUAUAAGAAAAAUCUAAUAUUAUAAUAAUAUAUCAAAGUCCUUGCUCCAUUACAAUACUUAAUUUUUUUCUAAGCAAUUAAUUAUAUAUUCUUCCAAAUUUUCUUUUCUUUUUUUCUUUUAACUACCAUUGGACAAUUACAAUUUUAAAUACAAAUUUCAAAGUACACAUUUAUCAUAAUCCUAUUAAGAAAUACAAAACAUGUCAUAUAUGUUGUCUCUCAUUUUAAUAUUUGAUAUUAAAAUCAUAUUUAUAAUAAUUGAUUAAUAACAUGAAAAGGAUGUAUUCUAGAAGUCCUAAAAUUCAUUAUUAUCACAUAAAAUAAAUAUAAAUUUAAACUCCAAUUUUUGAAAAAUGAUAUUACAAAAUUAUGAUUUAGAGCUACGAUUGGAUGAUAAUUUUGCAAAAAUUUGUGGAGUAAGAGAUAAUUAUGAGUGUAAACAACUCGUGGAUUUGUAUUUGGAUUUGGAUUCAUCAUAUAUUUAUAUUUUUAGGGUUUUGAUAAAACCCUAAAAAUAUUUUGACUCCGAUUUAAUUAUCUUAAAUUGGUUGGACCUGAAAAUAAAUUGAGAAAUAGGCAGGAAUAGAAAAAUACAAGGCAAAGACGAGCUGUCCCAGUGGCGUGGAAAAAACUUCUUAACUUCUCUGAAUAACUGCCAAAUAUCACGAAGGCCCCAACAAACAUACUAUUAUUACGCACUUUGCUGUUGCAGAGUCGCACCUAAAUUCCUCUCAAAUUCCUGCUUCCUCCACCAAUGGCCACUCUCUCUGCCUUCUCUACUCCUUCUCCUCCAUGGCCAAAUCCUAACCCUAGCUCUGACCCUAACCCUAACGCUAAGUCAGACUUGCCUGAUCAUGAGGAGCGGUCGCAGAGAACCGAACUGGAGGAUGUCGAUUCGCCGCCGAAUUCUCGUCCUACUCAAAACUUUAACCCUAACAUCCAGGAUGGUCGUCUGUCUCCAUCGUCGGUUCCGUCUCUUCUCCACAUCUCGUUCAACCAAGACUACGGAUGCUUCGCGACGGGUACAGAUAGGGGGUUUCGCGUCUAUACGUGUGACCCCUUCCGUGAGAUAUUCCGGCGAGAUUUGGACCGCGGCGGGGGGAUUGGGGUUGUUGAAAUGCGGUUAGUGUCUAAUUUGAUGGCCUUGGUGGGCGGGGGCUCCGACCCUCAGUACCCGCUCAACAAGGUCAUGAUCUGGGACGAUUAUGAGAGUCGGUGCAUUGGCGAGCUCUCGUUUCGGUCGGAGGUUCGAGCAGUUCGUCUCCAGUUGGACCGGAUUGUGGUGGUGUUGGAGCAGAAGAUUUUCGUGUACAAUUUCGCGGACUUGAAGCUUUUGCAUCAGAUGGAGACGAUUGCGAAUCCGAAGGGGCUUUGCGCGGUUUCGCAGGUGGCUGGGUCUAUUGUGCUGGUGUGUCCCGGGUUGCAGAAGGGGCAGGUUAGGGUUGAACACUACGCGUCUAAAAGGACCAAGUUCAUCGCGGCCCAUGAAUCCAGAAUUGCGAGUUUUGCGCUCUCAAUGGACGGGCAGUUGCUUGCGACUGCAAGCUCUAAGGGGACUCUGGUCAGGAUUUACAACACAAUGGAUGGGGUAUUGCUCCAAGAGGUACGUAAUAGUUUUUCUCAUUCAGUGGAAAUUCUGAACUUUUAGUGGAUCAUAUGAAAUAGAGCAUCAAAUUUCUCGUUGAAAUGCAAUCUCUUGUUGAAUAUAGCUAUGGAUUUAUGAAAUUUGGUUGAUUUUGUGUGUGGAACUUGGUGGUUUGGAAAUUUCUUAAUUGCAUAAUUGUGGAUGCCCCGUGUAUGCCUCUCUUAGCAUGCCCUCAAAGCCUAAAUGAGAUUCUAGAACUGGGGAUUGAUAUGGUUGAAAUUUUAGUCUUCAGAAUUAUUUUCAUUUCAUAUUAUUUUGAAUUGACAUUGGUGCCUACAUUUUGAGGUGUGACAAAAUUAUCAUCACUCUUAAUUGAGCAAAUAUGUCUUCACAUGCAUAACCCAGCAUGCUGUAAUUGCUCAUAGAUCCUCUGGAAAGAUUGGGAAAUUUUACAUUGCAAUUCAAUCUGCUGCGCAAUUAAGAAACGUUAGGCUCAGUCCUUUGAAGCUGUCAAGCCAAAUAUGUCAGCUGAAUCUGGCCUAAGCUGAACCGGGAAACCUAAGUGGGUUACAGUGAAUUUACUUCUGAGGUGCCAAGUUACCAUGUUUGGGAGAGAAAAUAUGAACUAUUUGUUAGUUCCUCUACUCAUUUGUUGACUAAUUUUUUUUAUAGGUACUUUCCCCUUCUUUGGUCCCCAGUGUGGGACUUGAACUUGGAACCUCCCACAACCCCACCCCAAACCUUUAUGCUGUUGCAUUGUCCCUGCUGUACUAUUGGGUCAGAUUGCUUUUCAAAGCAGGGCCAGGAUGGACUUGCGUGAAGCCCUGGAUGCAGGCUUGCUGCACUUUGGGCUUGUCUAAAGAAAGAAAUAAAGUAGAACAAAUGUGAUCUUUAAGUAUAAGUAGCCUUAGCUCAGUGGCAACUAAACAGGUUGGAUUUUUUUUUAUCGUCAUUUCAAUUCCUUACACCUACAAUAUGAAGUAGGCAUUAUCUGGUCUCAGGCUGCACAUUGUGCUGAGGCAUGCCCAUACAAAGAUGCAGGUAGAGUUAUGGUCUGAAGAUUUGGGCUGAGUUUUUGUGUCUUCAGGCCAAUUUACAAUCACUAAACUCAUGCAGAACAAUUCAUGGAAAAGGAAACAGAGAAUCGAGGAGAGGUUAUCACUAUACUGCCUGUGUCAUUGACCAUAGGAGGUUUGUUUUGUUCUAUGUUCAUUAAACUUUGAUGACAUUUUUUGUUCUAUGUGGAAUAUCAUGAAAAUGUGGAUUUCUAAAGCAAGAUGUUAGUCUCCAUUUCGAACCAUUACCUCUAAUGCACUGUAUCUGAUCAUGGUUUUAUCACAUGUCAUCCAUGUAAUGAAUCAACUGGGCUUGUCCAGUAUUCUUGAGACAAUUGAUCUACAUAAUCUGUUGCUUAAUUAAUUUGGGGAAUCUACAUAAAUCAAUUCCUGCAUUAGGAAAUGUAAGAUUUUUCUUUUUGGUUUUUUUUUGGGGUUUUAAAGAUAAGAAUGUCUCUACAUGCUCCUUCUGGUCUUGCCAAGUGGGGAACUUUUCUUGUUUCUGCUGGGAAUCCAAAUUUACAAUUAUUUUAUCCUGAACUACUUGUAUUCAUGUUUGUUUAUGCUUUUGAGUUCAUAGCAUUGUAGAUAUAUUGCAAAUAACUGGAUAUCUAAUGCAGUUACGAAGGGGUGCUGACAGAGCAGAGAUCUAUAGUAUGGCAUUCUCUUCAACUGCACAGUGGCUGGUAGUCUCAAGUGACAAGGGCACUGUCCAUGUUUUCAGCCUUAAGGUUAAUUUAGCAUCCCCUGGGAAUGACAAGUCACGUGGUGCAUCUAAUUCCAAUCUGGCAGUAGCAUCAUCCACCUCAUCACUCUCUUUCAUCAAGGGUAAGGCACCUUUUCUUCAGUGUAUAGUUGUCUCAGUGAUAUGCAAGUUCUUACCAAAUUAGUGAUCUUGUGAAAUGAAACUCUCACUUUUUUGUCCCUCAAUACUUUUGAUUUGUGAUUUUCUGUCCCUUGUUUUUUACGCUUUUUUUAUGCAAUUGUUUUUCUUUGCUUCCCCUGCAUCUGUCAUUACUUGUUGCUUACUAGGAAGUAAUGAUGGAGAGUUGAUGAGCAAGACCCCAAGAACAAGAUGCAUUAGACAAUGUCAAUGUAUUGACUGUUGAAGGCUAAUAAUAAAUUGUGUCUUUGGCUUAGAACUUACUUGAAUUCUUACUUACAGGAGUAUUGCCCAAGUAUUUUAGCUCAGAGUGGUCAGUGGCUCAGUUUCGCUUGCCUGAAGGUUCUCAAUACAUUGUUGCUUUUGGUCACCAGAAGAAUACUGUGGUAAUUCUUGGAAUGGAUGGAAGGUAAGUGAGCACCAAGCUCAAAGAGGACAAACUUUAUGUAAUCCAAUAUAACUGCUUGUUACUUUGAAAUUUUCCUAUUGGCAUGCUCAAUUUUGACUUUUUAGAAAGUAUACACAUAUAUUCACCAGACUAUCAUCUGGGCUGUGGUUGGAGGGAAGAGUGGCUUCUACUGAACAACAAGCGUUUUUCAAGUUGCUUGUUGAUCAGGAGAGAGCUGCAGACCAUACAUCACAUGCAGUCAUCAGUCUUAGUAAGCUAUUCAUUGUAGAAACAUCUCCUUCUUUCUAGCAUAGGUUAAAACAUUGCAUCUGGAAGGUUGCAUGAGACAUUUUCUUUGACCACUAUAUUUUUAUUUCCCUGAUUCUUCUUUGCCUGCAACCCAUGUUUUUGCCUCUCUCUCUUCCCUCCAUCAGCCCAUGUUUCUUUUUCUUUUUUGUUUCACAUUCAUCAUAACGUUUUCUGUUAGAAAAGAAACUGGAAAUAAAAUUGUUGAUAUUCACUUGAAUUUGAAUGAUUGAAUGCAGCUUCUAUCGAUGUCAGUUCGAUGCAGUGAGCGGUGGAGAGAUGAUUCAGCUGGAGUACCACAACUUCCUUAAACCUGAAAAUACUAUGUAAUAGGGGCUUGGGUUACUUGUACGUUCUAUUUCUGGGCUAUGUAUAUAACAUUCCCUUUAUGGUUUUUAUCUUGCAUUUUACCCUUACCUAUGGAUGGCUACACAAAUCUAUUGUAAGUAUCUCAGUGUAGAUGGGUCACAAUCUAUAUAUACUGAUUAUAGUCAAUAUGAAAACAAAUUAAAGCAAACUUGUGUAGCAACUGUCUUCAUCCUAUUCAUAGUUUAAUUUCUUCUUUUCUGUGAGAUCUGAGUAGUGGCAUGUGAGAUAACAGCGUGUAAAGUUUCAUUCCAGCCUAGCACACUCUUCUUCAACUUCACCUUAUCUUCUCUUCUUCUUCAGUUUUGAUUUAUUUUUAAUUUAAUAAAAUAAUUGUUUAAUGUAUCAUUCAGGGUUCGGUUGUACAUUUUUUUUUUUAAAGAAAAAAAUGUUUAAGUGAGGGAAUACCAAUGGCAGAGUCCUAAAAUAGCUAGUGACAAGGCUCAGACUUCAAGUCCUCUGUGCUUCCCCAUGCCUUUUAUUUCCCUUUGUAUAUUGGAAAUAUAGCCCCCAAAAAAUCAAAUAUUAAAUGAGGAAGAUAAGAAAGAUGACUUAUCGUAGUAACACAAUGUGACAGAAGGAACUAGUAAAAUAUAAAUUUACUAACUAAAUAAACUAGAUGCCAUGUGUCAAAAAAAUAUUAUAGAUUUUGAAAUUGUUUAUCAGAGAUCUCAUUUCAAAAAAAAAAUUUUUUUUAAGUUAGUGAAUUUCUUCUUUUUUGCAUUUUUUUUUCUUUUUUUUUUUUUAUAAAAAAAAUCCCUCAUUUUUUGCCCUUGGAACUUCAAUCUUGCUUGGUUAGCUUAAUUCAAUGGUUUAGGGGUCAGAAAGAGGUGGUGACCAACCUGCAAAUACCACCCAACAAUGCAAUUAUGCAAGAAGAAGGGUCUGAAAGCCUGAAAGCUUGUUUGAUGAUAAACCCCAAAAAAGCUUUGGAAUACAAAGAGUGUUGGGGACAAGAAAUGAGAACGCAUCUCAAGAUGAAAUCUAAGGUCUCCAAAUUUGGUGCACUGAAAACUGUGAUUUUGACUGACUCACCUCUGACUUUUCUUUCUGCAGCAGCUUUGCCCCCAUCCACCCACCCACCCACAUGCCUACCUCCAUCGUCACACCCCACACACCCCCCCUCUAUACACCAUUUUCAUCACGCAAUCAUAGCUUCUUUUCCUUCCCUGAUAUCCCACAAUCAUCAGAUUCAUCACUCUACCUUGGACCACACACCCCUCCCAAGUAAUACAACUUUUUUUUCCCUUUUUACCCCUAUGAAUAGUCAAAGAAUUUAAUUGUAUGUCACAGACUCACAAUCAGCCAUACAGCUCCAAUGUUUCAGAGAGAAAGAAAAAAAAAAAAAAAAAAAGUACAUGGGUGGAGUGUAGCAUUGGGCCUCUUACAUAGACCAUGUGAUACUGAGUCAUAUUUACCUGACCAAAUGUAUAAAAUAAUUAACAAUCCAGAUUCACAUGGCAUAUAUAGAAAUGAAAAUGGCCCCAUUCAUAAUGUUCCUCUGAAAUUUCAUGAUACCAAUGGUGGGUCAAUAUCUGACCACUAAUUGGGGAUUUAAAACUAAUCUUCUGCCAUUAAUUUACAUCUCCAAUGAAUAAACAACUCUCAUUUUAUCAAAAAGUUUUAUUAUAUCAACUCGAAUAAUUAAAAUCCAUCAACUCUAAAUUAUUUUUUUUUAAAAGAAAAAUAAUUUGAGUGUAUGAAAUUAUUUUUUUAAAUUACAAAUUGAAUUGGUAAUUUACCAAUUCAUUUCCAUUAUAGUUAUGAAUAAAUCAUUUCGUAUACCACUAAAUAAACCCAUGAUCUAAGCCUUGAUUUAAAAAAAAAAAAUUCUAAAGUUGGUAGUGUAUACACAUUCAAAUAUAAUCUAUAUUUUUUUUUUACUUUGAUGCAAUUUAAGAAACAAUUUUUUUUUUCCAAAUAUCAAAACUAUUUUUAUUUUUCAUAAUCUAUAUUUUAAAUUAAUUAAGACUUUAAUUAUAAUUAUUUUUGAAAGUUGAUUCUUCUUUCUUUUUCGCAAAGCUCACAAGAGCAUAUAAUUUGAAAAAUAGAAAAAAUAAAAAAGAAGAAGAAAAACAAGGAAUGUUCUUAAUGAAUUUGUGUAGAAAAUUAUUUUAUAUUCAAUAAAAUUUUAAAAAUACUAAAAUAUUUAAACUUUGUUUCCAACUUCUAAAAAAAAUAAAAGAUGUGAUUACAACAUUGAAAAAUGCUUUCUCGAUUUCUAUUGAAAAAAUAGUAUGAAUUAAAUGGUGUCAAAUAUAUAUUUUUAUGUAUUCUUAUUUAAUCUAAGUCCAUAUUUUUUUGUUCAAUAUUAAGCUACAUUACCUUUUCAUUGUCCAAAAAUUAUUGCAAGCAAGAAUAGUAUUUACCUGUGCCUUUUCUUCUUCAUGAAUUCAAUGUGAACAGUAGAGAAGUCCUUUCUAAAGGAGCGGGGCAAGUUGAUUGAAACAAGAGAAUCGAGGUGGACAGCAACUACACGAAACACCACUGCAUAAGAAGCCAACAAACUAGUAUAUAAAGCCCACCAUACCCUCUUCAUUUGCAGUACCACCUCACCAUCCUCCAUUCAUAUUGCCCAUUUUCACCCACCUCUUUCUCUCUCUUUUUCUAUUUUUUCUCACCUACCCUCCUUCUCUUUCUCUCUGCCUCUCAGUUUCUCAGUCUUUCAAUGGCGCUCAAGCUCCAUGGAAUUCCCAUGUCCACAUGCACCACUCGUGUCCUCACCUGUCUCCAUGAGAAAGGCUUGGAUUUUGAGCUUGUCCCUGUUAAUCUCUUUGCAGGUGAACAUAAGCAGCCUCCUUUUCUUGCCAAGAAUGUGAGUCUCACUUCCCUCUUUCUUUCUAAUCAUCCCUCUUUAUUCUCUUUGAAGAUUUUACUUUUCUUUGGGGUUGUAUAAAUUAUGAUUUUCCUUGGUUUGGGUACAUUGUUUUUAGUGUGCAGUCUUGUCGAUUUGAUUUUGGUCUUGGUUUUGUUAUACAUAUAUGCAGCCCUUUGGACAGAUUCCAGUUCUGGAAGAUGGCGAUCUCACUCUUUUUGGUAAGUCCUCGGUUUUAAUCACUUUCCUCAUAAAAGCUUGAAAUUUGUUGUACUGUACUACCAUCAGGAUUGACAGUUCCUGAGAUUUAUUAGCUGCUUGCUUUUGAACAAAAUUUUGCUUUAAAAAAUUAAAGGAGUUUUUCUUACAAAAUCAUGCUAUUUAGUACAACAUACGAGCUGGGUCUAUGAUACUAUUAAGUAUACUAUUGCCCCAGCCUUACUGAAAAUCCCUAGUCGAUGAAGUUGGGUUACUGAAAUUAUGUAUAUGUACCAGAAUCUAGGGCAAUAACAGCAUAUUUGGCCGAGAAAUACAAGGAAACGGGGUGUGAUCUCUUGAGGCACAAUGACCUCAAAGAAGCUGCAUUGGUGAAGGUGUGGUUGGAGGUUGAAUCCCAACAAUAUCAUCCGGCAAUAUACCAGAUUGUGUACCAGUUCUUCGUGUUGCCUCUACAAGGCAAGACGGCCGAUCAGGCCAUUAUUGAUGUAAAUCUGGAGAAGUUGGGUAAGGUUCUGGAUGUGUAUGAGGCCAGGCUGGGCACCACAAAGUGCCUAGCAGGAGAUUUCUACAGCUUGGCUGAUCUUCACCACCUUUCUUACACUUACUAUUUCAUGAAGACGCCAUGGGCUUCCCUCAUAAACAGCCGUCCCAAUGUGAAGGCAUGGUGGGAGGACAUUUCCUCAAGGCCAGCUUUCAAGAAAGUGGCUGAAGGCAUGACUUUUGGUGAGAAGUGAUCGGUUUCUGAGCAGUGUGGCUCUAUGUUUUGGGGUAAUAUUAAUUGUAGUGGUUGCUGCCUCUUAAUUACGUGUAUUUAAGUGUGAGACCACGUAAUAAUUACUGAUUAUGUGUUAUGAUUUGCCCUAAAUUAAUCAGAAAUGUGGAAUUAUCUGGGGUUUCUCAUUGUGGUAAUUAAUCUGCUUGCAACCAGUUUUUGAAAGGGUUUGAUGCAUUUUUACUCCAUACUUUGCUUUAGCUAGGGUUAUGUUGGUGUCUCUAAGGCAUAAUGCUUCCAUUUUUGAGUCAUUGCAUACUCAGAUCAAAGUUUUCAAGACUUGUAGAAAAUGGGUUUUGGUAUUUUCAUGAAAGAGAAUGAAAGGGCAAAUUUCUUCACAAGGCAUGUAGUAAGGGUUUUCCCUUUCAAUCAGUCUUUUUCCUGAGAAACAAACAGAAUGUAUAUCAUGCCGUGUCAUCCACUGUGACAGUUUUCCUCUGAAGAGUUUUACUGCAGUACUUCCUAUUUAUUCCCAUUUUUACUUCCCAAACGAGGUAAACACGUACUGUACUGCAGCUCUGGUUAUUUUCAUCAUCCUUGCUUGUCCAAAGCAGCUUCACUCUUUGAACCUAUUUUUAUUGUUAUAUAUAUAUAUAUAUUAGGUCAAAUUAAUCUUCCAAUUUUCUAACUCUAAGCCCUUGCAAAGAGUUUUUGUAGUAUCAUAUGUAUCUACUAUCAGUCAAGCAGAAACUGGAUAAUGUUCUAUAUACGCUUCAAUAAUUAUGGAUCCAGCAAAGGAGAUCUUUUGUUAUGCUACGGGUCUCUACUAAAAUCUGAGGCUGGAACCCACUUCAAUUAUUCACUCAUUUUGUUCUCAUAGAACCUUCAGCCAUGUGACCCUCACCCUCCAACUAACUUUCAACCACAUCUACCACCUUUCUUUCCUUUUUAUUUUUAUUUUUUAGUUUUGACCUAAUUCCAUCUAACUCUCAAAAUGUAUUCUAAAUCAUGCAUCACAGUCUCAAAAUAUAUGUAGGCCCUUCUCUCUAGAUUCUUGAUUCUAUAGUCUUGUACAACCCAAAUUUCUUAGACUCUAGUCUGAAUAAGCUUGAUAGACAUGAUUGUGCUUAUUAUUUAAUAAUUUAAGUUUUUCUUAUAGUAAUUAAUAGUUUAAUAUGAUAUAAUAAAAUUUCUUAUCUUAAUUAAUUUGUAAAAUUAUCUAGAUGAGAUAAAUAGAUAGUCCUAAUUUUUAACUCCAAAAAUUGAUUUUUUUUCUCAAUUAUAAAUUUUCUUAAUCCAAUGCGAGAUUCAAAUAUCAAAAUAAUAGCUAGUUUCAUAAGACACUUGAUGUAUGUGGAAAACCAUCAACAAUCAUGGGUUUGCAAAACAAAGUAAUUACUAAAUCUAAAAGAAUAAGUACACAAUUUUUAUCAAAAUUUGAUACUAUCUUCUCCCAAGGGUCUUAUGUUGGCACAUAUUUACACUUGUUUUCAUGUUUGAGAUGCAACACCUUAUACCCUUUAGGAAACUCCUCAACUACUUGAUAACAUAUAAUCAACCAUUAUGAUUUGAUCUCAAAUAAGAGUUAAGCGAUUGAAAAUGUAUGUGUAGUGAGUUUGAAAUGAGAAUGAUAGAGAAAUUGAACUUUUUCAUUAGACUUUAAAUGAAGCCAUUAAGGAAGAGAUCCACUCCCAAGAUUAAUUCAAGAUGGGGAUAUAAAAAUGGUAUCUUACCAUAAUGACGUCAUCCAUCAAACUUUAUAUGAAGAAGAUAAAUCCAUUGGUUGAACUCUUUAUAGAGGAAUAAUUGACUCUUUAUCAUUAAACAAUAUAUGUUUGUUUUCAACUUGCAAAGAAUCUUAUUCUAGUGCUAUUAAAAAAAUUCUUAAAUAUUUAAAAAGAAUAAUUAAACUAUGUUUGUGAUAUCAUGCAUACUAACUUUGAUCUAAUUAACUAAUUAAAAGUGGAUUUUCCGUUUGUAAAAGUAAUGGAAAUGUAUUAGUGGUACUUAUAAUGUUUGUUUUCAAUCUUACAAAGAAUCUUAUUUUAGUGCUAUUAAAAAUAUUCUUAAAUAUUUAAAAAGAAUAAUUAAACCACGUUUGUGGUAUCAUGCAUACUAACUUUGAUCUAAUUAACUAAUUAAAAAUGGGUUGUUCCAUUUGUAAAAGUAAUGGAAACGUAUUAGUGGUACUUCUAACUUUCUAGGCCACUCACUAGGUUUUGACAUAGUGAUCGAACCUUUGAUCAAUUGAGUUGUCGUGUGCGAUAUAUUUCAUAAUGACUAAUUGAUGCAUGGUGGUUUAGACUUAGUCUUAAUUGGUUGAGGACUUGUUGAUCAGAUGUUAAUCGAUUAAGGUUCUUGCACCUUAAUGAUUACCUCCAAGUGUACUUUUAUUUAAUAGCAUGUUUCUUAGUCCAUCGCCUAAUCCACUAAUUCAGCUAAAAAUGUGCCUAAGGGCUAGUUUCACUCUAGAACUCUUAUUUAAAACUUUCCAACCUUGAGCAAUCAUUGUAGCAAUUUAUUGAAUGGUUCUCUAGAAUACUCUUAUUCCCAAACUCGCAAGUCUCAUUUAGUCUACCUUAAUCUUAGUUUAUUUAUAUAUUUGAUCCUGAAUUUUGCAAACUAGAAAGCUUACUUUAAGAAAUUCACUCUUGUAUUCAUGAAAGAGUAUACUGAAAUGUAAGGGAUCACUUGAGGGCAUUGCAAAGGCAUAUUGGAAGCUUAAAUAUAAGUGUAAAAAAAUUAAAAGCAAAAUCUUAGCACUAGUGAAUGGACCUCAAGCUUAGAUUGAUGAAAGAGAGAGUGGAUAUAGGAGUUAUAGAACCAUUAUAAGUACUUUAUUGCAUCACUCUAUCCCUAUCUCUAUUAAUUUACUUGCACUAUAUUAAUUUUUAUAAUUUGCUUUUUAAUUUUCUAAAUUUUGCAAAAGAACUAACACCGAAUUCUCCUCCCCUCUUGGGUGUCUUCCUCAAGUGAACUCAACUAAUUUGCUUUUCAAUUUUCUAAAAUCAUGAAUCAAUGUAUCAUAAAGCAAAUCCACUAAUUUAAAAAGAAUUAAUACACGGUUUUACCUUAACCAUAUGUUAUCUUCCCCUAAUAAUCUUACACCAAUCAACACAUCCAUUUGUUUUCACGUUUGCAAUGCAAUAUAUGCUCCUUAGUAAACUCCUUAGCAAUUUGAGAUAAUACAAUCAACCAUCAUAAUUUAUCCUUUAAUUAAAGUUAAGUUUUCAGGAAUAUUGGAAACACACAUGAGAAUAACGACAAUUAUUUUCGAGAGCAUGUUGUUUUUUCAAUAUAAGGAGAAAAUCUUACUAAGUCUAUCCAAAUACAUUAAUUGAAAAAAAUAUAGAAUUAGAAAAUCAUGAAAAAAAAAAAACAAAUGGGUCCAAGGUAAACCGAUGUACUCCAUUUUGUCAUGAAUAUUCACUAAAAAUUACUCAACCGUACACAAGCUUGACACACAACAUUUCCCCACUACGUAAUAGCCAUUAAAUCAAAUGAAAAAUAAAAUCUCCAACGUUAAAUUAAGUUGACACCGUGUGCAUCCCUGGUUUCAUAAUGCAGAGUGAGAUGAAACAGAAUCGAUGCACAAGUACUGGGAAAUAAAAUUACCCAUCACGAGUCUAGAAAAUGGGUUCUGAUAUUUUCACAUAAGACAAUGUUGGAGGAUUCUAGGAAAAGAAAGAGAAUGCGGGAAAGGGAAAAUUCUUCACAUGCCUACAGCAUUUACGGCAUAAAGAACGUUUUCUUUCUCAAAGCAUGUGAUCUUUUUCCUGAGAACCAAACAGAUGGCAAAAGCAAGUUCCUGCUUGUCCAAAAAAACCCUGUACUCAUUGGACUAACAAAGCCUGAAUUAAAUAUGGGCCAUUUCGUACCUUCACCAUGGCCCAUUUCUUGUGAUGUUCUUUUGAAUAAAUUUAAGAAAUUACUGUUAGAAAUCAAAUAGAUUGAAUAAAUAUUUUAAUUUAUAAAAAAAUCAUCUUAAAUAAAUAACAAAUAAUAAAUAGGAGAAGGAAAAGAGAAAGUACGUAUAUUUGCAAUGUUACAUUACCUCACCUUAUCGUUUUCCAAAACUUAUAGUAAGCAAGAAUUGGAUUUACUUCUGCCUUCUAUUCUUCAUCAAUACAAUAUGAACGGUAGAGAAGUCCCUUGUUCUAAAGGAGCCGGGCAAGUCGAUUGAAACAAGCGAAUCGAGGUGGCCUGCAACUACCCUAAACAACACUGCAUAAGAAGCCAACAAACUAGUAUAUAACGCCCACCAUACCCUCUUCAUUUUCAGUACCACCUCACCAUCCUCCAUUCAUAUCGCCCAUUUUCACCCACCUCUUUCUCUCUCUCUCUCUCUCUCUCACUCUCUCAGUUUCUCAGUCUUUCAAUGGCGCUCAAGCUCCAUGGAAUUCCCAUGUCCACUUGCACCACUCGUGUCCUCACCUGUCUCCAUGAGAAAGGCUUGGAUUUUGAGCUUGUCCCUGUUAAUCUCUUUGCAGGUGAACAUAAGCAGCCUCCUUUUCUUGCCAAGAAUGUGAGUCUCACUUUCUUCUUUCUUUCUAAUCAUCUCUCUUUCUUCUCUCUGUAGAUUUUGCUUUCUUUGGGGUUGUAUAAAUUAUGAUUUUCCUUGGUUUGGGUACAUUGUUUUUAAUGUACAGUCUCGUCGAUUUGAUUUUGGUCUUGGUUUUGUUAUACAUAUAUGCAGCCC